rnacentral:rRNA from 1 species
CACGUAGGUGGCAAGCGUUGUCCGGAUUUACUGGGCGUAAAGAGCGCGCAGGCGGUCGAAUAAGUCGAAUGUGAAAGCCCCCGGCUCAACUGGGGAGGGUCAUUCGAUACUGAUCGACUCGAAGGCAGGAGAGGGUAGUGGAAUUCCCGGUGUAGUGGUGAAAUGCGCAGAUAUCAGGAGGAACACCGGUGGCGAAGGCGGGUCUCUGGGCAACAACUGACGCUGAGGAGCGAAAGCGUGGGGAGCGAACAGG